UACUACACACUGUCGUGUGGGUGAGACCCUGCGUUCAGGUUCGAGCCGAGCGGAGCGAGACAGCAACGCGCCAGCGUUGACCCGAAGGGCGAGGCCAGCGGCCGAGUAAUCCCGCACGACCCACCA
rnacentral:sRNA from 1 species